rnacentral:rRNA from 1 species
UACGGAGGGUUCAAGCGUUAUCCGGAUUCACUGGGUUUAAAGGGUGCGUAGGUGGGCAGGUAAGUCAGUGGUGAAAUCUCUGGGCUUAACCCGGAAACUGCCGUUGAUACUAUCUGUCUUGAAUGUAGUGGAGGUGAGCGGAAUAUGUCAUGUAGCGGUGAAAUGCUUAGAUAUGACAUAGAACAUCGAUUGCGAAGGCAGCUCGCUACACUAUGAUUGACACUGAGGCACGAAAGCGUGGGGAUCAAACAGG